UUUGUUAUGAGUGUUGUGCGGCAUUUGUUCAAAACGAAAAUGAAGACCAAACAAAUUUGAAAUAAUUUUACCAACAAAACACAACAGAAAACCGGUUGAAAAGUGCGUAAACAAGAAAGACAACAAAUAAACAGCACGCAUAUAACGACAAGUCGUUUUGAUACAAGAAGAAAAAAAAAUUAAAUGCCGGCGGCACUUAAAAAUACUUGAGAAAGCAAAAACAACAAAAAAAAUAUGUUAACAAAAAUAAUGCUUAAUUAAAAAAAACUAAAUUCGAAAAAGUGUUCUUCAAAAAAAUAAAUAAAUAAAAAAA
rnacentral:sRNA from 1 species